rnacentral:rRNA from 1 species
CCUACGGGAGGCAGCAGUGAGGAAUAUUGGUCAAUGGCCGGAAGGCUGAACCAGCCAAGCCGCGUGAAGGACGAAGGUGCCAAGCAUUGUAAACUUCUUUUGUCAAGGGACAAAAUCAGGCGCGAGAGCCUGAACGAGUGUACUUUAAGAAAAAGCAUCGGCUAACUCCGCGCCAGCAGCCGCGGUAAUACGGAGGAUGCGAGCGUUAUCCGGAUUUAUUGGGUUUAAAGGGUGCGUAGGCGGGCUGUUAAGUCAGCGGUAAAAGCCCGGGGCUAAACCCCGGCGAGCCGUUGAAACUGGCUGUCUUGAGAGGUGGAGAGGUAUGCGGAAUGCGCAGGGUAGCGGUGAAAUGCUUAGAUAUUGGGAAGAACUCC